UCCUACCAAAUAGUGCCUGAUCAAGGCUUCCGUUUUCAAGAUAUUCAUAAACAAGAAGGCGCCUAUCUCCCUCAAUGCAGCAUCCGUAUAGUUUCACAAGGUUACGAUGUUGCACAGCAGAUAUGGUAGAAAUUUCAGUUACAAAUUGACUCUUCCCUUGGUGAGAUGCCACCGAUAAUUGCUUCACAGCUACAAUCCUCCCAUCAGAUAGUGUGCCCU